rnacentral:rRNA from 1 species
AGCGAACGCUGGCGGCAGGCUUAACACAUGCAAGUCGAGCGGGCAUCCUUGUGGUGUCCGCGGUAGACGGGUGAGUAACGCGUGGGAACGUGCCCUUCGGUUCGGAAUAACUCAGGGAAACUUGAGCUAAUACCGGAUACGUGCGAGAGCAGAAAGGUUUAUCUGCCGAAGGAUCGGCCCGCGUCUGAUUAGCUAGUUGGUGAGGUUAUGGCUCACCAAGGCGACGAUCAGUAGCUGGUCUGAGAGGAUGAUCAGCCACACUGGGACUGAGACACGGCCCAGACUCCUACGGGAGGCAGCAGUGGGGAAUAUUGGACAAUGGGGGCAACCCUGAUCCAGCCAUGCCGCGUGAGUGAUGACGGCCUUAGGGUUGUAAAGCUCUUUUCUUCGGGACGAUAAUGACGGUACCGGAGGAAUAAGCCCCGGCUAACUUCGU